AGGCGUGAUGACGAGGCACUACGGUGCUGAAGCAACAAAUGCCCUGCUUCCAGGAAAAGCCUCUAAGCAUCAGGUAACAUCAAAUCGUACCCCAAACCGACACAGGUGGUCAGGUAGAGAAUACCAAGGCGCUUGAGAGAACUCGGGUGAAGGAACUAGGCAAAAUGGUGCCGUAACUUCGGGAGAAGGCACGCUGAUAUGUAGGUGAAGCGACUUGCUCGUGGAGCUGAAAUCAGUCGAAGAUACCAGCUGGCUGCAACUGUUUAUUAAAAACACAGCACUGUGCAAACACGAAAGUGGACGUAUACGGUGUGACGCCUGCCCGGUGCCGGAAGGUUAAUUGAUGGGGUCAGCGCAAGCGAAGCUCUUGAUCGAAGCCCCGGUAAACGGCGGCCGUAACGAUAACGGUCCUAAGGUAGCGAAAUUCCUUGUCGGGUAAGUUCCGACCUGCACGAAUGGCGUAAUGAUGGCCAGGCUGUCUCCACCCGAGACUCAGUGAAAUUGAACUCGCUGUGAAGAUGCAGUGUACCCGCGGCAAGACGGAAAGACCCCGUGAACCUUUACUAUAGCUUGACACUGAACAUUGAGCCUUGAUGUGUAGGAUAGGUGGGAGGCUUUGAAGUGUGGACGCCAGUCUGCAUGGAGCCGACCUUGAAAUACCACCCUUUAAUGUUUGAUGUUCUAACGUUGACCCGUAAUCCGGGUUGCGGACAGUGUCUGGUGGGUAGUUUGACUGGGGCGGUCUCCUCCUAAAGAGUAACGGAGGAGCACGAAGGUUGGCUAAUCCUGGUCGGACAUCAGGAGGUUAGUGCAAUGGCAUAAGCCAGCUUGACUGCGAGCGUGACGGCGCGAGCAGGUGCGAAAGCAGGUCAUAGUGAUCCGGUGGUUCUGAAUGGAAGGGCCAUCGCUCAACGGAUAAAAGGUACUCCGGGGAUAACAGGCUGAUACCGCCCAAGAGUUCAUAUCGACGGCGGUGUUUGGCACCUCGAUGUCGGCUCAUCACAUCCUGGGGCUGAAGUAGGUCCCAAGGGUAUGGCUGUUCGCCAUUUAAAGUGGUACGCGAGCUGGGUUUAGAACGUCGUGAGACAGUUCGGUCCCUAUCUGCCGUGGGCGCUGGAGAACUGAGGGGGGCUGCUCCUAGUACGAGAGGACCGGAGUGGACGCAUCACUGGUGUUCGGGUUGUCAUGCCAAUGGCACUGCCCGGUAGCUAAAUGCGGAAGAGAUAAGUGCUGAAAGCAUCUAAGCACGAAACUUGCCCCGAGAUGAGUUCUCCCUGACUCCUUGAGAGUCCUGAAGGAACGUUGAAGACGACGACGUUGAUAGGCCGGGUGUGUAAGCGCAGCGAUGCGUUGAGCUAACCGGUACUAAUGAACCGU
rnacentral:rRNA from 1 species